CAGCCCAGACGUCGCGGCUAUAACGACUUGCCCCCUCGGCUUCCCCGCCUUCCGGAGCGAACGCCGCGCUUCCUUUCACGUCCUCGCGGGACCCACGCGGAACAGGAGGCAGCAGCCGGGCAGCCGAGCAGCGCCCGCGGGUUUGACCGUGAACGCCGCCGGAGUCAGGGCGCGUCUCCCGCGGCGUCUGAGAGCCCCGCCGGGCCUCAAGGGACCACCUCGCCUCCCGUCUCCUCCUUCUUUCCCAGCCGGCACCUCUUUCGUCUGGCUGCUCCGGGGAUGGAGUCGCAGGGCCUGAGAGAUUCGGCCUAAAAUGCCGCAGGCGGCCGCCUGACUCCUCCCGGUGAGGGCCUAGGCCUUCCGUCCAGCUCGCGAACCACGCCCCGCCCCACGGGGUCCUGGACAGAACAUUCACCUCCAGGAGAAGAAACCCAGGUGAAGAACCUAAGGUCCAGAAAGGUACUAGCAGCAAUAGUGAGACCCAGUUUGGUGAUUUCUGUUAAUACCAUCAACUGUGACCUAGAACGCUAAAAGAAGAUGAGCUGACCAGGAAUUUGGAUGAAGGGAUUUAAUGGAGCUGAGUGGUACAACAUUCCUUUUGAGAAGCAUUUGCCUGCGCCUUGAAUCAAUCCUCCAAGAUUAAAUGAGUUUAGGUAACAAUCAGAUAUUUUCCCACCAGCUUGCAAAACAGCUUACUUCCCCUGCUCCACCCCGGUAUUUCUAAGGUCAGUAAGAAAACGUCAGAGGCCUGUAUCUGGUAAUUGUCAAUUAUGUUUUCUUUCCCUGCUGGGCCCUUUCAACGCUAGAGUUACUGCAGGAUUGGUCAUUCAUUCAUUCAUUCAACAUUUUUUGUCCUCUUCCUGUGUGUGAGGCACUGUGCUAGGUGCUAUAAAGCAGGUGCUGAGGAUACAGAGUUUAAAAAGAUCUCUGCUCUCAUGGAACUUAAAUUCUAUUGGGGGAAGGCAAAUCAUAAAAUCAAAUAAAUACUUUUAAAUACUACGAAAAAAAAUAAAACAAAGUAAGAGAUAGUGAUUGGAUAAGAGGCUGCUUUAGAUAGGGAAGUUCAGGAAUGGCAUUAUCUGAGGAGGCAACGUUUGAGCAGAGACCUGAAGAAGGAGCCAGUCAUAUGAGCAUCUGGGGAAAUAUAAAAACUUAAUUUGGUGACAAGAGCAGUAGUAUGUACUUGGUUAAGAGGCAGCACAUCACUGAUGUAAGGAACUAGUUACUGGAUAAGGAUGGAUGGAGAGCUUGCAGUUAGUAUGGGUUUAAAGCAUAAACUACAUUCAAACAACUGUUUCCAUUCCCUUAGGGAAAAUAGGGAGUAGUGAAGCAAAAAUCAACACCCCUUCUCCUAUUCUUGGUCACAGAAUUUCUAGGUAGACAUAUAGUUUAGAACCACUGUAUCAGCUCUGCAUGGCUUAUAUUUGGACUGUAAUAUGAGAGAGAAAUAAACUAAUCUUUUUUAAUUUGCCAGUAUGUUGGAUUGUUAUGCAUGUGAUCUGUAUACUGACUAAUAUACAGUAGGUUAAAAUAAUGCAUGGGGUAGCGAUAAGAUUGAAAGAAAUUUUGAGAAAAGGAAAAAAAACCCCACGUGUCAACCAACUUUUUAAAUACGACUAUCUUUUUCUUUUUCUUUUUUGCGGUACGCGGGUCUCUCACUGUGGUGGCCUCUCCCGUUGCGGAGCACAGGCUCCGGACGCGCAGGCUCAGCGGCCAUGGCUCACGGGCGCCGCCGCUCCGCGGCAUAUGGGAUCUUCCCGGACCGGGGCACGAACCCGCAUCCCCUGCAUUGGCAGGCGGACUCUCAACCACUGCACCACCAGGGAAGCCCUAAAUACAACUAUCUUAAAACUUGUAUAUUAUCUUCCGAGACUCAUCCACGUGCACAUUUUAACAUAAUUGUAAUGAAUUUACAUACCAUUUGACAUUCUGCUUUUUCAGAUUUAAUCCUAUAUGUUACAUAUUCUUCUCUGUUUUAACGUAGUUGUCAUAGUUAUUUUUAGCAGCUUUAUACCAUUAUAAAGUGUUGCUGUACUAUAAUUUACAAAUUCAUUCAAGGGAUAAAUUUUUAAAAAUUAGUUUUAUUAGUAAUCUAGUUGUUGAUUUUUUGAUGAAUCUGGUUUGGUCUUUGAGAGUCUCUUAAAUGCUUAGCUUGAGCCUGAAAUGUAUACCUGGUAGGAGGUAAGUAGAAUAAACAA